rnacentral:tRNA from 1 species
GCCCGCAUGGCUCAAUGGUAGAGCGCAUCACUAGUAAUGAUGAGGUCGUCAGUUCGAUUCUGGCUGUGGGCA